rnacentral:rRNA from 1 species
CCUACGGGUGGCAGCAGUAGGGAAUAUUGCUCAAUGGGGGAAACCCUGAAGCAGCAACGCCGCGUGGAGGAUGAAGGAUUUCGGUUCGUAAACCCCUUUCGUCAGAGAAGAUAAUGACGGUAUCUAACGAAUAAGCACCGGCUAACUCCGUGCCAGCAGCCGCGGUAAUACGGAGGGUGCAAGCGUUAUCCGGAAUUACUGGGCGUAAAGAGAGCGUAGGCGGGAUAGCAAGUCAGAAGUGAAAUCCUAUGGCUCAACCAUAGAACUGCUUUGGAAACUGUUAAGCUAGAGUAUGGGAGAGGUAGGUGGAAUUCUUGGUGUAGCGGUAAAAUCCGUAGAGAUCAGGAGGAAUAC